ACUUCUUCCAUCCUCUGCUCCGUCUUCCUACCAGCGGGGAAUUCCCUCUCUCUAAGGAGAGUCUUCCCAUUCAGACAAACCCUCAGUCUUCCCUUCAGCAGGGCUGAAGUCUGACUACCUCAGGUCUACAUGGAGUCCCAGAACAGUCCUCCCCUCUGACAUCCCUUCAGAGCUGUUUCUUCUCUAGAAUAAAUCUUCCCUGUUCCUUCAUCCUUCCUCACAGAGCAGCGUUCCCUGCUGCUCACCAGAAUGCCUUCUCCAGAUCUCCUCCAGGAAACCAGAGGUUCUAGGAUUCAGCUGUGACCUGGCCAAGUGGCUUUCUUCUGAGCACCCAGAGCGCUUAGGAGAGCUGUGACCUCAGACAGCAGGGGCCAGGGUCUCCGGGCUUUGAGAAAACUCUUGGGCCAGAGGCAGCAGAAAGGGCUCACACCAGUAAGAUUUGAAAAGCACAUGAGCCUGACCAGUGACUGCACCCUCAGAUUUGAAAAGGAGGCUCUGUCUCAGGGGUGGGGUGGGGUGGGGAAGCAGAGGAGAGUCAGGAACCACAAAAGCACAGACAGUGGUGGUUUCGGAGAGGCUCCCGGAGAGCUCUGGAGGACGUGAGAGCAGAGGGGACCUGGGUCCUGUAACAGAGAGCCCUGGCAGGUGGCAAGAUCCCAAGGAAGGGAAAUGGCUUCAUAGAAUGUUCCAGCAGCAAGGUCUUAGCCAGCCUUGCAGAGAUUUCGCACACACCAAAAUGGCCCCGAAGAAUAAGACUUACCUGUGGACCUUCCAGCCUGGCUGACCAGUCUGGCCUCACCCUGCCCUCAUCCCCUGCAGCCUGCACAGCGGGGCUGUGGUCCAAGGGGGCAAGAAAGCACCGACAGCUGCUCCUGCAGCCUUGUGAGGCAGGCGGGUCUGAUGUUGAUGUCUCCAUUUGGAUGAGGAGGAGACUGAGGCCCAGAGACGUGUCAAGAUCACACAGCCGUAAAUGGGGGCACCAGUGCUCACCAAGUACUUUAGGACUUGCAAUAAGCAUGAGCUAAUUGAAAGAUACAUUUGGAGGCAUCAAUGAGGCCUUCCUGUAGUUCAGUGGUGACUGAAGACCUGCAGGCACCCCAUCUGCUGUUCUCUGCAGUCCUUCCAGCUUCCCUCUCCCGGGCCCCAUCAGCUGUCUGGCCUUUCAGGCUCAUGCAUACAGAGCGAGCUCCUCUGCCUACCACACGCUGUCAUCCUUUGCUCCCACCCCACCCUACCCCAGAUGCUUCCUGACACUUCAAGUUCCAUCAUUAACUGAACUGCACGUGCAAAACUACACCCAAGGAGCCUUGGCCACACCUGGACUUGCUUUAGAUGGGACACGUCAUAAAAGCCUUGCGGCCUCCACCUGGGUCUGUUGAACCCCUUGCAUGGGGGAAGCCAGCAGCCCUGCCAUGCAGAUACUCAGGCAGCCUUGUGGAGACACCCGCAUGGAGAGGAACUGAGUCCUGGCACCAAAAGCCACUGAGCCACCUUGGAAGUGGAUCCUCAAGCCCUCAGAUGAGUACAGCCCAAUCGACAUCUGACUGCAGCCUCAUGCGAGACCCCAAGCUAGACCUGCCUCGCCAAGCCACUCCUGAGUUCCUGAACCACAGACACCGUGGGAGGUAAUAAAUGAUUCCUGUUGUUUUAAGCCA